AGUUGAAGUGGUAGGAAAUUUUUACAUAGGAGAGUAUGGUGAUCAUAUUUGCAUUUUAGAAAAUAAUGGAUAGCAGUUUGUUAGGGGAACAAAGGACAGAGACAGGGAGACUAUUUAAAACAUUAAUAAAAAAUACCAGUGACAGAUGAUGAGGCACCUACCUGAUGGGAAUGGAGAAGAGGAGAUGGAUUCAGAAACUACUUAGGAGAGGCAGGCAGUCCAAGGCUGAUGCCCAAAGAAGCCAUCAAGACCCGUGCUACUUCCAGCUCCUUCUGUCCUCAUAAUCAUAGAUGAUUGCUCCACAUCCAGAGUCUCGCUCAGUUUCCAGGCUGGAGUGUAAUGGCGUGAUCUUGGCUCACUGCAACCUCUGCCUCCCAGCUUCAAGUGAUUCCCCUGCUUUAGCCUCCCAAGCAGCUGGGACUACAGGCAUGCACCAGCAUGGCCGGCUAAUUUUUUUUUGUAUUUUAGUACAGAUGGGGUUUAACCAUGUUGGCCAGGAUGAUCUUGAUCUCCUGACCUCGUGAUCUGCCCACCUCGGCCUCCCAAAGUGCUAGGAUUACAGGCGUGAGCCACCUUGCCCGGCCUUCUAUUCCUUUUUCUAAUGCAUUUGCCCCAGCUAUCUGUAUAGCCUGCAAUCUGGUAGAUGGACCACAGGGAAACCACUGCAGCAAACUAAAAGUGUCUAUCUCAGAUCCUUCCACCACCAUCAUUUCCAAAAUCACCGUCACUAUCUCCACCACCAUCACCUUUACCACCAUCACCACUAUCAUCCUCAUCCUUCCCAUCACCAUCUCCACUGCUAUCUCUCAACACCAUCAUCAUCACCACCACCACCAUCAUCACCAUGAGCACCACCUCUGUCGUCAUCAAAAAAGCACACAGUUCAGGCUGGCCUGUUGGAGGAUAACAGAUCAUGUGGAGCAGAGACGAGCUGGCCCACCUCAGGCCCUACCAGAGCAAUCAGCUUGCCAAACACGACAUACAUCAGCGAGGCCAUCCUAGACCAUCCAGCCCUAGCUGAGCCAGCCCAGACCAGAGACUCAUGAGAAACAGUAAAAUGUUCAUCAUUUUAAGCCACUA
rnacentral:lncRNA from 1 species